rnacentral:rRNA from 1 species
AGAGUUUGAUCCUGGCUCAGAACGAACGCUGGCGGCGUGCUUAACACAUGCAAGUCGAGUGCGCGCCUGUAGCAAUACAGGUGGCGCACGGCGCACGGGUGCGUAACACGUGGGUAAUCUGCCCUCUGAUGGGGAAUAACCCGCCGAAAGGCGGGCUAAUACCGCAUAACAUUCCUUGGAUUUCGGUCCGGGGACUCAAAGGCGUAAGUCGUCGGAGGAGGAGCCCGCGCACGAUUAGCUAGUUGGUAGGGUAAUGGCCUACCAAGGCUUUGAUCGUUAGCUGGUCUGAGAGGAUGGCCAGCCACACUGGAACUGAGACACGGUCCAGACUCCUACGGGAGGCAGCAGUGGGGAAUCUUGCACAAUGGGCGAAAGCCUGAUGCAGCGACGCCGCGUGGGGGAUGAAGCAUUUCGGUGUGUAAACCCCUUUCGAUCCGGACGAAUGCCUCGCAAGAGGAGUGACGGUACGGAUAUAAGAAGCCCCGGCUAACUACGUGCCAGCAGCCGCGGUAAGACGUAGGGGGCCAGCGUUGUUCGGAAUUACUGGGCGUAAAGGGCGCGUAGGCGGGAUGGCAAGUCGGUCGUGAAAUCCUUCGGCUCAACCGAAGAACGUCGAUCGAUACUGCUGUUCUUGAGGAUUGCAGAGGAGACUGGAAUUCCCGGUGUAGCGGUGAAAUGUGUAGAGAUCGGGAGGAACACCGGUGGCGAAGGCGGGUCUCUGGGCAAUUCCUGACGCUGAGGCGCGAAAGCGAGGGGAGCAAACGGGAUUAGAUACCCCGGUAGUCCACGCUGUAAACGAUGACGACUAGGUGUGGGGGGGUUCAGUCCCUUCCGUGCCGCAGCUAACGCAUUAAGUCGUCCGCCUGGGGAGUACGGCCGCAAGGUUGAAACUCAAAGGAAUUGACGGGGGCCCGCACAAGCGGUGGAGCAUGUGGUUCAAUUCGAUGCAGAGCGAAGAACCUUACCUGGGCUUGACAUGCAGGAAGUAGAAACCGGAAACGGGGACGACCUGUUGAGUCAGGAGCCUGCACAGGUGGUGCAUGGCUGUCGUCAGCUCGUGCCGUGAGGUGUUGGGUUAAGUCCCGCAACGAGCGCAACCCUCACCCUAUGUUGCCAACGGGUUAUGCCGGGCACUCUUAGGGAACUGCCGGCGAAGAGCUGGAGGAAGGGGGGGAUGACGUCAAGUCCGUAUGCCCCUUAUGUCCAGGGCUACACACAUGCUACAAUGGCCGAUACAGAGGGUUCCCAACCCGCAAGGGGGAGGCAAUCCCACAAAGUCGGUCUCAGUUCGGAUUGCAGGCUGCAACUCGCCUGCAUGAAGUCGGAAUCGCUAGUAAGCGCAGAUCAGCAGGCUGCGCUGAAUACGUUCCCGGGCCUUGUACACACCGCCCGUCACACCACGAAAGCCGGUUGUACCAGAAGUCGCUGAGCCAACCGCAAGGAAGCAGGCGCCGAAGGUAUGGUCGGUGAUUGGGGUGAAGUCGUAACAAGGUAACCGU